AUGUGCCCCGGGACGUGGGUGCCUGCCGGGGGGGACAUAGGCACCGAGUCACAAGGCAAAGUCUGGAUAAGGCGACCCCAACCCAACCCAACCCAACCAAGGAGCAACCAAGUCCCCCGAGCGCCGGCCGGGUGCCGCGGGGACGGGCGGGGAGGGGACGCUGUCAUAGGGCCGUGCUCUCCGAGUCCUCCUCCUCCUCCGGGGGGGCUUUCACCGACAGUCUCUGCGUGGCGUCCGGCGGGUCCCGGCGCAGGGCAGCAUCGACGCCGAGGUGGAUGGACGGGAUCUCGAAAUGGACCAGACCUGCGGCGGGCACAGACGGGCGGUGUGAGGGGCUGCCAGGGGGGCACGGGCGGGUGCUGGCACACGGCGUGCUCCGACGGGCGGGCAGCGCUUGGUGCCACCGCCGGGGCGGCACACGGGGCCCCCAGCCUGGCCAGCUGCCUGUCCCCGCUCCUGGAGGGACGUUGGGGUCCCUCAGCAGGCGGCAGGAACACACCCAGGGGAGCGGGGGAAAGUCCUGGGCCCUGCUCCUGCAGCUGCUGGCUCGGGGACCCUGCCACAGGCAGAAGCACCCAGCACCCAGGGGAGCAGUGCCAGAGCGCAGGGACAGCUGGGCGCAGCGCUGGGGGCACCAGGGGUGGGUGCUCUGGUGCUGGGGGGCACCAGGUAUGGGUGCUGUGUUGGGGGGCACCACACCUGGCUGCAGACCCACUGCAACGCCUGGGGUACCACGCUGGGGUGCGUUGUGGGGGCUGCACCGAGCCCCAGGCACAGCACUGGGGCGCAGCAGGGGGACGCAGCUCGCCUGGGGACAGCCCGACCCCACUGCUGCAUGGUCCCCCCCCGUCCCAUCCCCUCCGUGCCACCGGGCACAUCAAGGUGCUGCGUGUGGGGACCCGGCCGCCAGCCAUGCUGCGCCCCGCAGGACAUGCAGUGCCCCUGGGGCACCGAGCUGUGCCAGCACCACGUCCCCAGGCUGUCCCCACUUCCAAAGUGUUCCCUGUGAUUCCCAGGAUGGGGAAAUGCCAUCCUGCCACCAUGUCCUGCCACCCCUCGGGAGCCGAGCUGGGGACACCAUUGGGUGCCCGCUGCCACUUCGCUUCUCCAGGGCCGCCGGGCAGGAGGGAGCCAGCAGCACGAGGAAGCCAGAGCCAGGUGACAAAAGUGUCCUUGCUGGCAGGAUGGGGCUGGGGGCGCGCUCUCACCUGCCCCAUGCACCCACGGGUGGCAGUGGGGAGGGGGUGGCCCUUGGGGACAGCAGUGGUGGGGGACGGGGACAAAGAAACAGCGACAAGGUCAGGACACAGAGGACACAACAGCAGAGCUUUGGGGCACUGCCCAGGGACACUGCCACCCUCCUGGGGACACAGCCAUCUUCUUGGGGACACUGCCACCUUCCACGGGGCAUUGCCACCUUCCUGGGGACACUGCCACUUUCAUGAGGACACUGAUCUUUCUGGGAACACUGCCACCUUCCCAGUGAUGUCACAACCUUCCUGA
rnacentral:lncRNA from 1 species